rnacentral:sRNA from 1 species
UGAAAGCUCGACCGGAAAGCGGAGCACCGCACC